rnacentral:rRNA from 1 species
CAGCCGCCGCGGUAAUACGAAGGGUGCAAGCGUUACUCGGAAUUACUGGGCGUAAAGCGUGCGUAGGUGGUGGUUUAAGUCCGUUGUGAAAGCCCUGGGCUCGACCUGGGAAUUGCAGUGGAUACUGGAUCACUAGAGUGUGGUAGAGGAUAGUGGAAUUUCCGGUGUAGCAGUGAAAUGCGUAGAGAUCGGAAGGAACAUCUGUGGCGAAGGCGACUAUCUGGGCCAACACUGACACUGAGGCACGAAAGCGUGGGGAGCAAACAGGAUUAGAUACCCCAGUAGUCCCUGUCUCUUAUAC